GACGUAGGGCGCGAGCGUUGUCCGGAUUAUUGGGCGUAAAGAGCUCGUAGGCGGCUUGUCGCGUCGUCCGUGAAAACCCGGGGCUCAACCCCGGGCUGCGGUCGAUACGGGCAGGCUGGAGUUCGGUAGGGGAGACGUGGAAUUCCGUGGUGUAGCGGUGAAAUGCGCAGAUAUCAGGAGGAACACCGGUGGCGAAGGCGGGUCUC
rnacentral:rRNA from 1 species